AGUGAACGCUGGCGGUAGGCCUAACACAUGCAAGUCGAACGGCAGCACAGUAAGAGCUUGCUCUUACGGGUGGCGAGUGGCGGACGGGUGAGGAAUACAUCGGAAUCUACUUUUUCGUGGGGGAUAACGUAGGGAAACUUACGCUAAUACCGCAUACGACCUACGGGUGAAAGCAGGGGAUCUUCGGACCUUGCGCGAUUGAAUGAGCCGAUGUCGGAUUAGCUAGUUGGCGGGGUAAAGGCCCACCAAGGCGACGAUCCGUAGCUGGUCUGAGAGGAUGAUCCAGCCCAAUUGAAAUGAGACACGGUCCAGACUCCUACGGGAGGGAACCGGGGGGAAUAUUUGACCAAGGGCGCAAACCUGAUCCAGGCCAAACCGGGUGGUUGAGAAGGCCCUCCGGGUGUAAAGCCCUUUUGUUGGGAAAGAAAAGCAGCAGGUUAAUACCCCGCUGUUCUGACGGUACCCAAAGAAUAAGCACCGGCUAACUUCGUG
rnacentral:rRNA from 1 species